rnacentral:rRNA from 1 species
UCUAGAAGCUUCGGCAAUGGGGGAAACCCUGACCGAGCGACGCCGCGUGCAGGACGAAGGUCUUCGGAUCGUAAACUGCUUUCGCUGGGGGAGAAAUGCUCCGGGGUGAAUAAUUCCGGGGUUAGACGGUACCCAGUAAAGAAGCUCCGGCUAAGUCCGUGCCAGCAGCCGCGGUAAUACGGGCGGAGCGAGCGUUGUUCGGAUUCAUUGGGUGUAAAGGGUGCGAAGGCGGUCGUCUAAGUCGGAGGUGAAAUGUCUACGGCUCAACCGAGGCAUUGCCUCCGAUACUGGACGACUUGAGUGCGGAAGGGGAGCGUGGAAUUCCUGGUGUAGCGGUGAAAUGCGUAGAUAUCAGGAGGAACACCGGUGGCGAAGGCGACGCUCUGGUCCGCAACUGACGCUCAUGCACGAAAGCCAGGGGAGCGAACGGG